AGCAGGGGUGCCGGAUACGUUCGGCUGAGAGAAGACUGCGAAAGGUCUUUAACCCUUAGAACCUGUAUCGGAUAAUGCCGGCGUAGGGAGCAGA
rnacentral:ncRNA from 1 species